rnacentral:rRNA from 1 species
AUUGAACGCUGGCGGCAGGCCUAACACAUGCAAGUCGAACGAGUGGCGGACGGGUGAGUAAUGUCUGGGAAUCUGCCUGAUGGAGGGGGAUAACUACUGGAAACGGUAGCUAAUACCGCAUACCAUCGGAUGUGCCCAGAUGGGAUUAGCUUGUUGGUGGGGUAACGGCUCACCAAGGCGACGAUCCCUAGCUGGUCUGAGAGGAUGACCAGCCACACUGGAAAUGAGACACGGUCCAGACUCCUACGGGAGGCAGCAGUGGGGAAUAUUGCACAAUGGGCGCAAGCCUGAUGCAGCCAUGACGCGUGUAUGAAGAAGGACUGCGGGUUGUAAAGUACUUUCAGCGGGGAGGCGUUACCCGCAGAAGAAGCACCGGCUAACUCCGUGCCAGCAGCCGCGGUAAUUC